rnacentral:rRNA from 1 species
CCUACGGGUGGCAGCAGUGAGGAAUAUUGGUCAAUGGGCGAGAGCCUGAACCAGCCAAGUCGCGUGAAGGAUGAAGGAUCUAUGGUUUGUAAACUUCUUUUAUAUGGGAAUAAAGUGAGGAACGUGUUCCUUUUUGUAUGUACCAUAUGAAUAAGCAUCGGCUAACUCCGUGCCAGCAGCGGCGGUAAUACGGAGGAUGCGAGCGUUAUCCGGAUUUAUUGGGUUUAAAGGGUGCGUAGGUGGUUCAUUAAGUCAGCGGUGAAAUUUUGUGGCUCAACCAUAAAAUUGCCGUUGAAACUGGUUGGCUUGAGUAUAUUUGAGGUAGGCGGAAUGCGUGGUGUAGCGGUGAAAUGCAUAGAUAUCACGAAGAACACCGAUGGCGAAGGCAGCUUACUAAACGAUAACUGACACUGAGGCACGAAAGCGUGGGGAUCAAACAGGAUUAGAUACCCGAGUAGUC